rnacentral:rRNA from 1 species
ACCUUAUAUUUUUCAAAAAGGAAAUUCCGCCUUAAGAUGAAUAGAUAAUUGAUAGAGAUAGGUAGUUGUUAAGGUAAUGGCUCAACAAGCUUAAGAUUCUCUUAGUCGAAACUAAGCUGGUUAAUCGACCACAUUGGGGAUGAAAAAAUCCCAAGGCAAAUAAGUACAGCAGUGGGGAAUUUUGGUCAAUGGCCUAACGGCUGAACUGGCAAUUUGGAGGAAUAGCCUAUUUUAAUUAGAGUGAAAUGGCAAAAUCUUAACAGGAAUAAAGUUCUAAAUAUAUUUUUAUAAUGACUAAAUAUAUUUAUGUCUUGACUAAUUACGUGCCAGCAGUCGCGGUAAUACGUAAGAGACUAGUGUUAUUCAUCUUUAGUAGGUUUAAAGAGUAUAUAAACGGAAAAAAUUAACCUGUAAAGGUAUAAUUUUUAUCUAGAGUUUAAUGUAAAAAGGUAGAACUCGAGGAGUAGCAAUGAAAUGCAUUAAUACCUUAUAGAGGACUGGUAAAGGCAAAGGCGACCUUUUAUGUAAAAACUGACGUUGAAAUACGAAGGCUUAGGUAAUGAAUAGGAUUAGAUACCCUAGUAGUCUAAGCAGACAAUGAUGAAUGCCAUAGAUUAGAAUUAUUUAAUCUAUAAAUGAAAGUGUAAGCAUUUCACCUCAAGAGUAACAUGGCAACAUGGAAACUGAAAUCACUAGGCCGUUUCUAACACCAGUAGUGAAGUAUGUUACUUAAUUCGAUGACCCACGAAAAUCUUACCACAAUCAGUAUAAUAUAUACUUUAAUAUAAAAAAGUAUUUAUUGCGAGUGUUGCACGGCUGUUUUCGGUUAAUGUUGUGAAACUGUGGUUACGACCAUGCAAUUAACGUAAACCUUUGCUUUAUUUAUAAUUUUUUUUUAAUAAAGCAAUUUUUAUCACUAUAGAGAUAAAAUACUAAGGGGCCAAAGACAAGUCAUCAUGACCUUUAAAUUGUGGGCUGUAGACGUGCCACAUAUUCCUAAACAAAGAGAAGCAAAAAUGCAAAUUUAAGCUAAUCUCACAAAAUAGGAUAAAAUAAGAUAUGGAUUGUAGUCUGAAACUCGACUACAUUAAUAAGUAAUUACUAGUAAUCG